rnacentral:rRNA from 1 species
UACAGAGGUCCCGAGCGUUGUUCGGAUUCAUUGGGCGUAAAGCGCGCGUAGGUGGCUUCAUAGGUCCGUUGUGAAAGCCAAAGGCUCAACCUUUGAAAGCCGAUGGAUACUGUGGAGCUAGAGUACGGAAGAGGCGAGUGGAAUUCCUGGUGUAGCGGUGGAAUGCGCAGAUAUCAGGAGGAACACCAAUAGCGAAGGCAGCUCGCUGGGACGUUACUGACACUGAGGCGCGAAAGCGUGGGGAGCGAACAGG